AGCGACAGGCUUAACACAUGCAAGUCGAGGGGUAACAGGGUAGCAAUACCGCUGACGACCGGCGCACGGGUGAGUAACGCGUAUGCAACCUGCCUAUAACUGUGGAAUAGCUCCCUGAAAGGGGAAUUAACACCGCAUAACACUAUUGAUUCGCAUGGAUUGGUAGUUAAAUGUAGCGAUACAGGUUAUAGAUGGGCAUGCGUGACAUUAGCUAGUUGGUGAGGUAACGGCUCACCAAGGCUACGAUGUCUAGGGGUUCUGAGAGGAAGGUCCCCCACACUGGUACUGAGACACGGACCAGACUCCUACGGGAGGCAGCAGUGAGGAAUAUUGGUCAAUGGGCGCAAGCCUGAACCAGCCAUGUCGCGUGCAGGAAGACUGCCCUAUGGGUUGUAAACUGCUUUUAUAGUAGAAGAAACACAUCUACGCGUAGAUGUCUGCCAGUAUACUAUGAAUAAGCAUCGGCUAACUCCGUG
rnacentral:rRNA from 1 species